rnacentral:rRNA from 1 species
ACGGGUGAGUAACGCGUGGGUAACCUACCCUGUACACACGGAUAACAUACCGAAAGGUAUGCUAAUACGGGAUAAUAUAUGUGAGAGGCAUCUCUUAAAUAUCAAAGGUGAGCCAGUACAGGAUGGACCCGCGUCUGAUUAGCUAGUUGGUAAGGUAACGGCUUACCAAGGCGACGAUCAGUAGCCGACCUGAGAGGGUGAUCGGCCACAUUGGAACUGAGACACGGUCCAAACUCCUACGGGAGGCAGCAGUGGGGAAUAUUGCACAAUGGGCGAAAGCCUGAUGCAGCAACGCCGCGUGAGUGAUGAAGGCCUUCGGGUCGUAAAACUCUGUCCUCAAGGAAGAUAAUGACGGUACUUGAGGAGGAAGCCCCGGCUAACUACGUGCCAGCAGCCGCGGUAAUACGUAGGGGGCUAGCGUUAUCCGGAUUUACUGGGCGUAAAGGGUGCGUAGGCGGUCUUUCAAGUCAGGAGUGAAAGGCUACGGCUCAACCGUAGUAAGCUCUUGAAACUGGGAGACUUGAGUGCAGGAGAGGAGAGUGGAAUUCCUAGUGUAGCGGUGAAAUGCGUAGAUAUUAGGAGGAACACCAGUUGCGAAGGCGGCUCUCUGGACUGUAACUGACGCUGAGGCACGAAAGCGUGGGGAGCAAACAGGAUUAGAUACCCUGGUAGUCCACGCUGUAAA